rnacentral:rRNA from 1 species
GAUGAACGCUGGCGGCGUGCCUAAUACAUGCAAGUCGAACGAGUUCUCGUUGAUGAUCGGUGCUUGCACCGAGAUUCAACAUAGAACGAGUGGCGGACGGGUGAGUAACACGUGGGUAACCUGCCCUUAAGUGGGGGAUAACAUUUGGAAACAGAUGCUAAUACCGCAUAGAUCCAAGAACCGCAUGGUUCUUGGCUGAAAGAUGGCGUAAGCUAUCGCUUUUGGAUGGACCCGCGGCGUAUUAGCUAGUUGGUGAGGUAAUGGCUCACCAAGGCGAUGAUACGUAGCCGAACUGAGAGGUUGAUCGGCCACAUUGGGACUGAGACACGGCCCAAACUCCUACGGGAGGCAGCAGUAGGGAAUCUUCCACAAUGGACGCAAGUCUGAUGGAGCAACGCCGCGUGAGUGAAGAAGGCUUUCGGGUCGUAAAACUCUGUUGUUGGAGAAGAAUGGUCGGCAGAGUAACUGUUGUCGGCGUGACGGUAUCCAACCAGAAAGCCACGGCUAACUACGUGCCAGCAGCCGCGGUAAUACGUAGGUGGCAAGCGUUAUCCGGAUUUAUUGGGCGUAAUGCGAGCGCAGGCGGUUUUUUAAGUCUGAUGUGAAAGCCCUCGGCUUAACCGAGGAAGCGCAUCGGAAACUGGGAAACUUGAGUGCAGAAGAGGACAGUGGAACUCCAUGUGUAGCGGUGAAAUGCGUAGAUAUAUGGAAGAACACCAGUGGCGAAGGCGGCUGUCUGGUCUGUAACUGACGCUGAGGCUCGAAAGCAUGGGUAGCGAACAGGAUUAGAUACCCUGGUAGUCCAUGCCGUAAACGAUGAAUGCUAGGUGUUGGAGGGUUUCCGCCCUUCAGUGCCGCAGCUAACGCAUUAAGCAUUCCGCCUGGGGAGUACGACCGCAAGGUUGAAACUCAAAGGAAUUGACGGGGGCCCGCACAAGCGGUGGAGCAUGUGGUUUAAUUCGAAGCAACGCGAAGAACCUUACCAGGUCUUGACAUCUUUUGAUCACCUGAGAGAUCAGGUUUCCCCUUCGGGGGCAAAAUGACAGGUGGUGCAUGGUUGUCGUCAGCUCGUGUCGUGAGAUGUUGGGUUAAGUCCCGCAACGAGCGCAACCCUUAUGACUAGUUGCCAGCAUUUAGUUGGGCACUCUAGUAAGACUGCCGGUGACAAACCGGAGGAAGGUGGGGAUGACGUCAAAUCAUCAUGCCCCUUAUGACCUGGGCUACACACGUGCUACAAUGGAUGGUACAACGAGUUGCGAGACCGCGAGGUCAAGCUAAUCUCUUAAAGCCAUUCUCAGUUCGGACUGUAGGCUGCAACUCGCCUACACGAAGUCGGAAUCGCUAGUAAUCGCGGAUCAGCACGCCGCGGUGAAUACGUUCCCGGGCCUUGUACACACCGCCCGUCACACCAUGAGAGUUUGUAACACCCGAAGCCGGUGGCGUAACCCUUUUAGGGAGCGAGCCGUCUAAGGUGGGACAAAUGAUUAGGGUG